ACGAACGCUGGCGGCGUGCUUAACACAUGCAAGUCGAGCGGUAAGGCCCUUUCGGGGGUACGACGAGCGGCGAACGGGUGAGUAACACGUGGGUGACCUGCCCUCAGCUCUGGGAUAAGCCUGGGAAACUGGGUCUAAUACUGGAUAUGACUCCACGGUGCAUGUCGUGGGGUGGAAAGCCUUGUGCGGCUGAGGAUGGGCCCGCGGCCUAUCAGCUUGUUGGUGGGGUGAGGCCUACCAAGGCGACGACGGGUAGCCGCUCGAG
rnacentral:rRNA from 1 species